CUCCUUCCGUCUCAUCUUCUCUUCCAGCUGCUGGGUAAAGGGGGGAGGGCGACGGGCUCCGACGGCGCUCCUGCGGACUCGGUCCAGGUCCUCCGAGUGAAGACCUGCCCUGCCGGGG